UAGAUACCCUGGUAGUCCACGCCGUAAACGAUGUCUACUUGGAGGUUGUGGCCUUGAGCCGUGGCUUUCGGAGCUAACGCGUUAAGUAGACCGCCUGGGGAGUACGGUCGCAAGAUUAAAACUCAAAUGAAUUGACGGGGGCCCGCACAGGCGGUGGAGCAUGUGGUUUAGUUCGAUGCAACGCGAAGAACCUUACCUACUCUUGACAUCCAGAGAACUUUCCAGAGAUGGAUUGGUGCCUUCGGGAACUCUGAAACAGGUGCUGCAUGGCUGUCGUCAGCUCGUGUUGUGAAAUGUUGGGUUAAGUCCCGCAACGAGCGCAACCCUUAUCCUUGUUUGCCAGCGAGUAAUGUCGGGAACUCCAGGGAGACUGCCGGUGAUAAACCGGAGGAAGGUGGGGACGACGUCAAGUCAUCAUGGCCCUUACGAGUAGGGCUACACACGUGCUACAAUGGCGCAUACAGAGGGCGGCCAACUUGCGAAAGUGAGCGAAUCCCAAAAAGUGCGUCGUAGUCCGGAUUGGAGUCUGCAACUCGACUCCAUGAAGUCGGAAUCGCUAGUAAUCGUGGAUCAGAAUGCCACGGUGAAUACGUUCCCGGGCCUUGUACACACCGCCCGUCACACCAUGGGAGUGGGCUGCAAAAGAAGUAGGUAGUUAACCUUCGGGGGACGCUUACCACUUUUUA
rnacentral:rRNA from 1 species